AUCUAUCUUUAACAUAGAAAAAUGACUACUCGCAUCAAUACUCACCAUUAUACCUUAGCAAUUCUAUGCAUUCUUGUAGUCUUAGCAUCAACAUCAGAAGAAGGAGUAAAUUUUCCUCCAAAAUGUGAAGAAUAUUGUUGUUGGAAUGUAGGGCCAGAAGAAUGUAAUAUUCGAGGGUGUUUGAAUGCUUGUUCAACGUAUCCAGGUCAUCUACAUGGCGUGUGUAAACAAAAAUAUUAUUGUUGUUGUCAUAAAUAGUAGUAUCAUCUAAAUUGUUUGUAUAAGUGUAUAUACAAACACUAGUUAUUAUGAAUUCAACAACAACAGCAAUAAAAUAAGUUGAAAAAUAAAAAAAUAAUAUCAAACUAAAAUAAUACUGUCAUGAUUUCUUACUGUUAUUAAACUAAAAUAAUAUCAAACUAAAAUAAUAUUGUCAGGAUCA